rnacentral:lncRNA from 1 species
CUAUCCAACUACAAGCUCUUUAUUCUACUCUUAACAAGCAUUAUAAUUCACUUUAUUAGAUUUACUGUGUACCCAAAAGAGAGAUGAAAGACAAAAAAAUAUUGGAGAGGCAGUGUAUCCUAGAGGUUGUGUUAAUUUUCGUUUCUUUGGUAAGCGAGUGAAAACCAAAGGGUCAUUAUUGGUGAGCGAGUGAAAACGAACCCUGUCAGCAUUGGUG